CACUUCGCCGCCGCCAGCCCGUGGCCCCGGGCGCCAAAGGGCCUCUUAAUUGUUCCUAGAACGGGUGGCAUUUAGGUCAAUUAAUAUGCAAAACAGGAGUAAAUCAUCUCAUUCGCGGGCCCCACGCGGGGCGGGGAGCCGAGGCAUUUGCUAGGCAGCGAGGUCGCGGCCCCCGCCGCGUGUUUAUCUGGGGAAAUGGAAAUCAGGCGACGCACAAAGCCGCCCCGCGGGCCGGGCCGCGCCCUCGGCCGCCCUCGGCGGGGUCGCCGGCGCCGGUCCCGACCAGCGGCCAGGGCUGGCGGAUCGGCUGGAACCCUGGGGUCGCCUCUGGCCCUCUCUGGUCCACCGUGCCUAGCUGGUGAUAGCAGGAGUUCUGUUAUUACAUAAAUCAGGUAUAAUACGAUUCCCUAAGUGCUUCGAAUUGGAGCUUGCGUGCUUCUGACCCGUUAUUAUGCUACCGAGCCUUGACUGAAGUCCAAAGCCUACUCGCAUUUCUGCAUUUAAUCCUCAAAAUCGCACUAAGAGGCAGGUGAUUAUUCCUAUUGUUCAGCUGAAGAAACCGAGGCAGAGAGGUGAAGACGGUCACCUGGCCCAGACCAAGCCCUUCACCAUUAAGAAAUGUAACAGGACCCACUGCGCACCUGCACUCUUCUAGACUCUGACGUUUCCACAGGGAACACAACAGGAGAUUCCGGCCUCGUAGGACACCAGCGAGAGCACCUCCAGGAGAAGCCAGCAGGGUGACAGAAAUGGCCCCUCGAAGGAGGUGACACUUGAGCAGAGACCUGAGGGAGCCUUCAUCCAUCUGAAAUGAAUUUGGCAGAAUGACACUCUCUUUCUUGUGAAACCCAGUCCUGCCUUGGGAUCCACAGAUGCCCCAACAUGUCCUGCCUUCCCUGUCCCUUGGUCCCUCAUUCAGUCACUCUACAAGUAUGUUUUGAGCCUUUGUUAAGCACCAAACACUGGUGAUCCUGCUUUGAAUAGAUCAUGCCCCUGUGCUGGGAAA